CCUACGGGUGGCAGCAGUCGAGAAUCAUUCACAAUGGGGGAAACCCUGAUGGUGCGACGCCGCGUGGGGGAAUGAAGGUCUUCGGAUGGUAAACCCCUGUCAUGUGGGAGCAAAUUAAAAAGAUAGUACCACAAGAGGAAGAGGCGGCUAACUCUGUGACAGCAGCCGCGGUAAUACAGAGGUCUCAAGCGUUGUUCGGAAUCACUGGGCGGAAAGCGGGCGUAGGCGGUUUCGUAAGUCGUGUGUGAAAGGCGCGGGCUCAACCCGCGGACGGCACAUGAUACUGGGAGACUAGAGUAAGGUAGGGGGAAGCGGAAUUCUCGGUGUAGCAGUGAAAUGCGUAGAUAUAGAGAGGAACAC
rnacentral:rRNA from 1 species